GCAUAUGGAGUUCCUAAGCUGGGGAUCAGAUCUGAGCUGCAGUUCCUACCAAUGCCACAGUUGCGGCAACUCAGGAUCCUUAACCCACUGGGCUGGGUCAGGGAUUGAACCUACCAGAGACGCUGCCAGUCCCAUUGUGUCACAGUGGGAACUCCCCAAUGAUUUAUGCUAUUUUCCAUAGAAUCACUGAAUCAUUUCAAAGUGCUUGACAGUUUUGUCAAGGGCAUUUUGUUUUUUUCCCCAGUGAAUGUUAUUCUAUUAAAAAAUUCAUUUCUAAAGCUUUAAGAGCAUUUAAGUGCUAUUCUGGGUUUAUCAAUAAAUUCUGCUGUGCUAUUCCUUCUGUAGUCCCUGUUCCUUGGAUGAGAAUCUCAAAACUUCUACAAUUUAGCACCAGUUUUCAAGAUGUGUAUUUUAUCAAAUCCUACAAUAAGCCAUCUCACCCCCUCCAGGCUGUCCACCACCACCUCCCAGUCUUGCUCUGUGUGCACCUAUCUUUGGACUCUCUCUCCUGCUGGCUCCUCAAAUUAAAAGGAAGGCCUUCAUUCCUGGAUCUUUGUCUUCCAAAUCCCAUCCAGUGUCAAGGAAUGUCAGGACGAAUGUCCCUGCCUUUCCUAGGGAACAAUUCUUGAUUGCUUAUCUGGAAGCUGAUCUGCUUUCUUUAAGUUCCAAGACAGUUGUUGUACCUUCUCUCUUAGGUUGUCUUAUUCCAAAAACUUGAGCAUGUUAAUUUCCCUCCUAUGCCUGAGUAUGUUCAUUUGUAAAAUGGGAGCUGAUAUUUGCUCACUGGGCUUUUGUGUUGCUCAAUGCGCCCAGCGUGUGUUGUCACAGGGUGAAAGCUGGUAGCUAUGAGGAUGUAGGUUUAUUGAGGGCAGAGGAAGAAGUCACUGUUUCUUAAGGUCUUCAGAGUAACUUGCUGAGGACAUCACCCACUGCAAGUGCUCCUGGGCCAAUACUCAGUCAAGCGUAUGUAGGUUUAGAAUGAUAAUGUAUGUGGCAUCAGGCAGCUUUUAGAAUAUUUUGGGUAGAGUUCUGUCUUUGUCUAGUUUUUGUUGGUAGCUUAGAUCCCUGAGAAUGGAAAUACAAGUGCAUGGCUGCUCCCAGUGUUGGUGAGCUUCAUGGACCUUGAGAAUGAAAUGCCAUACUUUUAUAUAGGAGAAAUAUACUCAAAACUCACAUUCUUAAAAGAGUUUCUGGGAACAUGCUGAAGAUCAAGUAGGUCUGUGCCUGGUCUCUUUUUGGAAACUUGCAUUCUCUAGAAAUGGAUACUGGCCCUGGACAUCAACAUGCAUCCCAGCUUGAUGACCUGGUCCUGGGAACGGUCAGCUUUGUUUUGUUUAAAUAGCUCCUGAUGGUUCUCCGUGGUGGUAAUAGUGAACUUUCAGGUCAAUAGAAACAUGGAUGCGCAAACAUGCAAUGCUCAAACCAGAUUAAGACUUAUCCUCAGCUUCACAGAUUCAGAUGCAAAAGACUGUUGAUGUUUAGGCACCGCUGAGGAAGUGCCCCAUCAGAUGCCAGAGCAGAACAAUGCCAUCUUUGUCAGGCAAGACAGUUUGGAGCUGAGAGUCAGAUACAGCCUGUAUCCAAUACCUCUGCUCGGGGUGAGUCCUGGGAGAUCCGCCAACCCCAUCUCUGAGCCUGGAGGUGGGACCAGGGAGCUGCAGGUGAAAUUUGUUGGUGCUCUGGUGCAGUCUAGAGGCUGCCUCCUCCUCCACCAACACUCAGCCCUUCUCUUGACUCCCACUGCUGCUCAGUUCUGAACUAGUUCUGAGGUAGUGAACUUUCCAGAAUAAUUUUCUUUGUAACUUAGGAAAUGGCUCCCGGACAACCUUGUAUUUUGUCCCAUAGUAAAUAUUUUGGCCCUUAGUAUUGUGAUAUUUUACUAGGAAAAGCAUACACAAUGAGUUAUCUUUCAAUUAAUAGUGGAAGAGAGUGAUAAGACUGAACUACACCAGUUGAAUUAAAAUGUUAUUAUUGUUUAAGCUUUUUGCUGCCUUAAUUAUGUUCUGCUUGGUUUAUUAUUAUGAUUAUUGUUAUUAUUAUUUUUUCCUGCGGUCCUACAUGCAUGUUUCAGGGAAGGUAGAGCUGGAUUCAGGUUAAGAGUAAGGUGCCAAUAACCCAUUGAGUCUGAUUGAGCUGUUCAUGGAUGAACUUGUAAGACAUAGGUGUGCACUUAUUUUCUACCAAAGAUGCUAAAUUUUCUUGGGGCUUUUUCUUCUGUAGAGGAGAAUGUAGUGCUUCUCAAGGAAUAUGUCACUUAUCUAGAAAGCACCUAACUCACAACUUGUCUAUUUGCUACAGGUUUAGUGCUGGUAGAAGAGAGGCAAGAAGGAUGUGGUUGGUGAGAGGACGCUGAGACAAGCAUGUGGAUGGUAAUGGAAUUUCACUUCUGCUAGCAAAGGAAUCAGUGAAGGUAUUAAAAGCAGCUAAGACUUAAAGCUAAACCAUCUUGGGCUAUUUAAUGUAAAGAUGGUAUAGCCUGGAUCUGAUAUUAGAAUCAUAGAAGCAGAGAUGGUAGGAUUCAAAUGUUCUCUGAAAAAGAUUAAACUAAGAGUAGACAUGAAGCUUUAAACUUCAAGCUCAUAUGAGACACUCAGCAAGAUAAAUGACAAAGUGGGUCAUAAAACAUGUUCUAACAAACUUAGAAUGAUAAAAAUCAUGCGAUGUCUGUUUUAGACCACGAUGAAAUUAAAGUAGAAAUGGUUAUCAGAAAGAUAGGUGGAAAAUCACAAAGUACUUGGAGAUUCAACAGCACAUUUCUAAAACACAUAGGUUAAAGCAGAAAUCUCAGGAGAAUUAAAAAAAUGUUUUGAACUAAAUGAAAAUGAAAAUACAACUUACAAAAUUAUGGGAUUCUAUGACACCAGUGCUCAUAGAGAAUGAGAAGGAAGAAAUAAAUUGUCUUUGUUUGCAGAUGACAUAAUUGUAUAUGUGGAAAAUCUGAAAGAAUCAAUAGAAAAACUUCUGAAACUAGUAAGUCAUUAUAGCAAGUUGCAGGAUGCGGGGUUAAUAGACAGAAAGCCAGUCACUCUCCUAUAUAACAGCAAUGAACAAGUGGGAUUUGAAAUGAAAAACACACCACUGUUUACAUUGUAACACUUCCCAAAAUGAAACACCCAGGUUUAAAUCUAACAAAAUAUAUAUGAGGAAAACUGCAAAACUCUGAUGAAAGAUAGCAAAGAUGAACUAAAUAAUUGGCCAAGUAUUCCAUGUUCAUGGAUGGGAAGACACAAUAUUGUCCAAGAUGUUAGUUCUCCCCAAACUGAACUACAGAUUCGAUGUAAUUCCAAUCAAAACCCUAGCAAGUUAUUUUGUGGCUACUGAAAGGCUGAUUCUCAAGUUUAUAUGAAGAAAAAAAGCCUCAAAUAGCCAACUUAAUAGUGGAGGAGAAUAGCAAAAUUGGAGGACUGACUGACACUUCCCAACCUCGAGACUUACUACAAAGCUACAGUAAUUAAGACAGUGUGGUAUUGGUGAAAGACCAGACAAAUGUAUCAAUGCGACAGAAGAGGGAGGCCAGAAAUAAACCCACAUAAAAUGGUCAACUGAUCUUUGACAAAGGCAUAAAGGCAGUAAAAUGGAGCAAAGAUAGUUAUUUUAAUAAAUGGUGCUGGGAAAAACUGUGCACUCAUAUACCAAAAAAAAAAAAAAAAAAAAAAAUCUAGAUAGAGACCUUACACCCUUCACAAAGGUUAACUCAAAAUAGAUCAUAGAUUUAGAUGUAAAAUGCAAAACUCUAAAACUCUUAGAAGAGAAAUAUGAGAAAGCCUAGAUGGGUAUGGGUACAGCGAUGGCUUUAAAUACGAAUAAAUACCAAAGACCUGUUUCAUGGAGGAAAGAAUUGAGAAGAUGUUCUUCAUUAAAAUUAAAAAUUUCUGCUCUUCAAAAGACAUCACCAACAGAAUGAGAAGACAGAUCACAGACUUGGAGAAAAUAUUUGCAAAAAAUUCAUCUGAUAAAGGGCUGAUAUCCAAAAUACACAAAGAGGAGUUCCCAUCAUGGCUCAGUGGAAAUGAAUCUGACUAGCAUCCAGGAGGACACAAGUUUGAUCCCCGGCAUUGCUCACUGGGUUAAGGAUCCAGCAUUGCCAUGAGCUGUGGUGUAGGUCGCCGACGUGGCUCAGAUCUGGCAUUGCUGUGGCUGUGGUGUCAGCCGGCGGCUACAGCUCUGAUUAGACCCCUAGCCUGGGAACCUCCAUAUGCUGUGGGUGUGGCCCUAAAAAAAAAAAAGACAAAAUACAUAAAGAACUCUUGAAACUUAACAAUAAGAAAAAAACCUGAUUAAAAAAUGGGCAAAGACCUGAACAGACACCUCAUCAAAAAAUAAAUACAGAUUCAAAUAAGCAUAUGAAAAGAUAUUCCAUGUCAUAUGUCAUCAGGGAAAUGCAAAUGAACCCCCAUUAGAAUGACCAAAAUCGAAAACGGUGACAACACCAAAUGCUGGCAAGAAUGUGGAGCAACAGGAAUUAUCAUCCACUGUUGGUGGGAACAUAAAGUGGUACAGCCAUUUGGAAGACAGGUUGGCAGUUUCUUACAAAACUAAACAUAGUUUUAUCACAUGGUCCAUCAGUUACCUUCCUGGCAUCUACCCAAGUGAAAAAAAGACUGUUAUGUCUUUACAAAAAACCUGCCCACAAAUAUUUACAGCAGCUUUAUUUAUCAUUGUCAAAACUUGGAAGCAACCAAGAUGUCCUACUGUACGUGAAUGGGUAAAUAAACUGUGGUACAUUAGACAGUGGAAUGUUACUCAGCAGUAAAAAAAAAUGACCCAUCAAGCCAUGAAAUGAUGUGGAGGAACUUAAGCAUACAUUACUAAAUGAAAGUUAAUCUGAAAACGUUAUAUACUGUAUGAUUCCAACUAUGCGACAUUGCGAAAAAGGCAAAACUAUGGAGACAGUAAAAAGAUCAGUGGUUGCCAAGGUUUAGGGGAGGAAGAAAGAUUUUCAGGGCAUUGAAAUGAUUCUGUGUGAUAACCAUGGUGGAUACACAUCAUUUUACAUUCUACAUUUGUCAAAACUCACAGAAUGUACUAAGAGGGAAGAUUUAUGUGAACUGUGGACUUUGGGUGAUAAUGAUAAAUCAGUGAGGGUUCCUUGAUUGUAACGAGAUAACCAUGCUGGCUGGGGGUGCUGAUAAUGCAAGUGUGGGGACCAGGCUGGGGGGGGGCGGGGACUCUGUAUUUUUCACUCAGUUUUUCCUUGCACCUAAAACUUCUCUAAGAAAAUAAGGUUUAUUAAAAAAAAAAAACCUUAAGAAAAUUUUCAAACAUUUUCCCCUCAAAUGAAUUACCACCCACCCACACCCACACACACACCCACACACACAAAAUAUAAAGCCAGGAAUUGUAUCUCACAGUCCAUUUUGUUUAUGAUUGUGAAUAGCUCUAGGUUGAUUACUAGAAAAAAAACUGGUUGAAAAUGUUUGGUGGAACACAAAUAGUCAAAGAAACAAAUUGAAAAUUAGGAGUUCCCAUCGUGGCUCAGCAGUCAGGAACACGACUAGUAUCCAGGAGGAUGGGAGUUUGAUUCCUGGCUUCUCUCAGUGGAUUAAGGAUCCAGAGUUGCUAUGAGCUGUGGUGUAGAUUGCAGAUGUGGCUCAAAUCUGCUGUGGCUCUGGCAUAGGCUGGCAGCUGCAGCUCUGAUUGGACCCCUAGCCUGGGAACUUCCAUAUGCUGCAGGUAUG
rnacentral:lncRNA from 1 species